AAAGGGGUAAACUAUAUUUUUAAGUUUUAGGAUUCAUAAUCCUGCUAAGGAGGUUUUUCCCCCCUUUU
rnacentral:tRNA from 1 species